AUGGCCAGUAAAAGAAGGAGCCGAGGUUCCCAGCCAGGGCAGCCUGUUAACCACAGGCCCAGUGCCAGGAAGGAUGCCCAGGGAGGCUCCACCUUCUCAGGAGCCCAGGAGCUGAGCAGUCAGAGGGAGUGGGGUGCCUGGGAUUCCCCAGGUCAGCUUGAGCUCCGGUGCAGACUGGGGAAGCGGGUUUGGGGAGACCCAGCGGCCAACAGCUUGUCCUGUAGAGCGCCAGGGUCAGUGCACGCCAACACCCGGGGGUUUUGAGUCAUGGCCACCAACUGAAGCCCCAGUAGCCACCCCCGCUGCCCUCACCACCUAGCUGGCACUUGGACACGCAGCCCUCUCCGCUCCAGGCAGGCCUGCCAGCACCCAUGCUCCAUCCUUAGAGAAAGGGAUCUCCUGUUCCCUUCUGUGGUUCGGGAAACUCCCUGCCCACUGUGCAGGGGAGAGUCAGUUUGGCUCCCUCCCCAGGCCCUUCUUCCUGAGUCUGCUGUGCCCAUGGUCAGCAGCUGAGGGCAGGGGUGUCCCUGCGGGCCGGUUGACCAGCAGAACCUUUCCUUCCUAAGGGAAUUGGCACACAGAAAUCUGCUGUGUGACAGGUCAAGGCUCAGCUGCCUGGGAAGGGUUAGCAGAGGAGGGCACAGAGGCUGCCCCAGGGCAUUCCGUGGAGGCCCAGGUUCAAAGGGCAGGUCAUGCGGCCCUUGGGAGGGGAAGAGCGGGUGCAGACCUGACACUAGGCCCUCUGACCCAGGGCCAGUGUGCUGCCCAAGGGGAGCCGGCCUCCCCACACAAGGGGCCAUUGUUGAUGGUCAGUGAGGUCCCCUCCAGCCCUGAUGGUCUAGGGAGAGGUGCCAGGGAGAACCAGGUGUCUUGGGAGGUGGCAGGGCUGCAGGAGGCCAGGUGGGGAAAUGAUUAACCCCUCGCUCUGUCCUGGGCACCCGACCCACCAUCCAGGGCUGGGCAUCUGCAUUUUGAUCUGGCGCCAAGGAUAGGGGGCCCACUGGCCCUCCGCUGCCCACCUGGGCCCUGCCUGGAGCCACGCUCCUCACCCUCUCCUCAAUGACCCCAUCGUCUCCUGGGAAUCUCGUUUGACAGUGACUCACAGCCCUUCCCUCUGCCAGCUGGGGCUUGUUCCCGGGAGRGGGGUGGAGGGUCCUGGCUCCAGCUGCCUCCUGGGCAAGCAUUGGCAACAGCUGCGGCAGCCCAGAGCCCUGGGGAGGCAGGGCAGCUUCCCCAGGGCACUCGAGCCCAUCCCUGCAGCCACAGGAGCCCAGGGCCUCUGAGCAGAGGGCCAGCAAAGACCAGCCCUGCACCAUCAGCCUCAAUGUACAUCUGAGAGGACGCGAACGCCCAAGGCCCAAAUGGCGACGUCAGAAUCUCCCACCCACCCAGAGUUCUCCGCACUACGCAUGACCCACACACAUCCGAACACAGACAGGCCCCGCUUGGAAACACAGACACUCACGCAUCAGACCCACACAGAGUCCAAGACUUGACUACCAGCCCCACCCUCUGCACAGACCUUCCCUAGGUGUGACUGGGCUCUGAGAUGCUGGGCCCCCGUCCAGAGCACCAAGCACCUCCUUUCUCGGGGCAUAUCCUCCCCUCUCCAGACCCCACAGGCGUCUCCAGACCCCGCAGGCCUCUGCUGUAGAGAAGUGAGGACAGAGAGUCCAGGGGGACCCCAGCCCUGGUAGAGGAGGUGCUGCCAUGUGGGUUCCCUGGAGCUUGGUGUCCUUGUAGGGUUGGGGGGAGGGGAGGGUCAAGAUCCGGAUGGGAGGGUCUGCCCACACCUGCAGAGGCAGCCUGGCCUCACCACCCAAACGUCCGCCUGGGGCCAAUUUCGAUCAGCGAGAGCCUUCGGGUCAAGGAGUAGGGGCCCACGCAGCUGCUGCCCAUCCACUACAUGGGCCUCAGUCUUCUGGGGGUGGUGUCAGGGGGUCAGGAGAUGCUCUUGGGGGGGCCCCAAGCGGAGUUCAGGAGUCACCAAUUACAUGAGGGUGCUGCUUCCUGGACACCCAUCCCCCAGGCUUCUCUGACCCUGACUAGAUGUUCAGCAGACAAAGAUGAGACACCCAGUCCCUGGACCCUUUGAAGGCCCCACUCGUGAGUGAAGACUGAAGCACAGAGAGGGAGAGCGCCAAGCGUGAAGUUCCCCAGCGCUGACAGCACCCCGAAACACUGUGCCCAGAGCCUGAGCCCAUCCCUGGGAGGGCACCCGCCGGCUCGGCCUACUCACUGACCCUGCGAGGCAGUGUGGCCGCCUCUUCCCGGGAGGGGCCUCUCAGGCUUUACAGAGAAAGACAAGCAGCCAGGGGCGGCUCAGAAGCUGAAAAUUGACCGUUUACCUCCUGAACGCCUCCCCAGCGCCCAGAGCGGCCUCUCCGGGCUAGACAGGCAGCCUGCUCGGGCCAGCGUCCACAAGGAAUAAGGAGAGCCGGGACCCCGGGGGCUGCACGGUGCGACCCCGAGCCUGUGGCCCCCGGAGCAGUCAGGACCCCGGCUCACCUGGACAGAGGGCCCGAGCUCUCCCUUCUAUCUGACAUGCCGCCAGACCGCCGCGCGUCCGGCCCGCUCCGCGCCGCCCCGCGUCCCGCCCGCGGCGCAGNNNNNNNNNNNNNNNNNNNNNNNNNNNNNNNNNNNNNNNNNNNNNNNNNNNNNNNNNNNNNNNNNNNNNNNNNNNNNNNNNNNNNNNNNNNNNNNNNNNGGGGGGGGUCAGGAGAUGCUUUUGGGGGGACCCCAAGAGGAGUUCAGGGGUCAUCAAUCGCAUGAGGGUGCUGCCUCCUGGACACCCACCCCCCCAGGCUUCUCUGACCCUGACUAGAUGUCCAGGAGACAAGGAUGAGACACCCAGUCCCUGGACCCUUUGAAGGCCCCGCUCGUGAGUGAAGACUGAAGCACAGAGAGGGAGAGGGCCAAGCGUGAGGGUCCCAGCCCCUACAGCACCCCGAAACACUGCGCCCAGAGCCUGAGCCUCAUCCCUGGGAGGGCACCUGCCUGCUCAGCCUGCUCACUGACCCUGUGAGGCAGUGUGGCCGCCUUCUCCCAGGAGGGGCCUCUCGGACUCUCCAGAGAAAGACAGGCAGUCAGGGGCGGCUCAGAAGCUGAGACUUGGCCGUUUACCUCCCGAACGCCUCCCCAGCCCCCAGAGCGGCCUCUCCGGGCUGGACAGCCCUCCGCAGGCAGCCUGCUCGGGCCUGCGUCCCCAAGGAGGAAGGAGGGCCGGAACCCGGGGGCUGGGCGGCGUGGCCCCGACCCUGUGGCCCCCGGAGCAGUCAGGGCCCCGGCUCACCUGGACAGAGCGGCCC
ensembl:lncRNA